rnacentral:rRNA from 1 species
AGUCAAUAGAUACCCAGGUAGUCCACGCCGUAAACGAUGAGUACUAGGUGUAGGAGGUAUCGACUCCUUCUGUGCCGCAGUUAACACAAUAAGUACUCCGCCUGGGAAGUACGGUCGCAAGAUUAAAACUCAAAGGAAUUGACGGGGGCCCGCACAAGCAGCGGAGCAUGUGGUUUAAUUCGAAGCAACGCGAAGAACCUUACCUAGACUUGACAUCUCCUGAAUAGUGUAGAGAUACAUGAAGCCCUUCGGGGCAGGAAGACAGGUGGUGCAUGGUUGUCGUCAGCUCGUGUCGUGAGAUGUUGGGUU